GGGAGGCGAACCCGGCGAACUGAAACAUCUAAGUAGCCGGAGGAAAGGACAUCAACCGAGACUCCGCUAGUAGUGGCGAGCGAACGCGGACCAGGCCAGUCAUUCAGUCUACACAACCGGAACCGUCUGGAAAGGCGGGCCAGAGCGGGUGAUAGCCCCGUACGGGUAAACCGGACUGAAUGCUCGAGUAGGGCGGGGCACGUGAAACCCUGUCCGAACAUGGGGGGACCACCCUCCAAGCCUAAGUACUCCUCAGUGACCGAUAGUGCACCAGUACCGUGAGGGAAAGGUGAAAAGCACCCCGACGAGGGGAGUGAAACAGUUCCUGAAACCGGAUGCCUACAAGCAGUCGGAGCGGCCUUGCGCCGUGACGGCGUACCUUUUGUAUAAUGGGUCAGCGACUUACAGUAAGCAGCGAGCUUAAGGCGAUAGCCGGAGGCGCAGCGAAAGCGAGUCUGAACAGGGCGCUUGAGUUGCUUGCUGUAGACCCGAAACCCGGUGAUCUAGCCAUGGGCAGGUUGAAGGUGCGGUAACACGCACUGGAGGACCGAACUCACGCCUGUUGAAAAAGUCGGAGAUGACCUGUGGCUAGGGGUGAAAGGCCAAUCAAACCGGGAAAUAGCUGGUUCUCCGCGAAAGCUAUUUAGGUAGCGCGUCGGGCGAUUGCCCACGGGGGUAGAGCACUGGAUGGGCUAGGGGGCCUCGCGGCUUACCAAACCUAACCAAACUCCGAAUACCGUGGAGCACAGCCCGGCAGACAGACGGUGGGUGCUAAGGUCCAUCGUCGAGAGGGAAACAGCCCAGACCGCCAGCUAAGGUCCCCAAAUCACGGCUAAGUGGGAAAGGAUGUGGGAAGGCCAUGACAACCAGGAGGUUGGCUUAGAAGCAGCCAUCCUUUAAAGAAAGCGUAAUAGCUCACUGGUCUAGUUAAGCCGGCCUGCGCCGAAAAUGUAUCGGGGCUCAAGCCGUGUACCGAAGCUGCGGAUGUGAUCUCUGAUCACGUGGUAGCGGAGCGUUCCGUAAGCCUGCGAAGGGUGUCCGUGAGGCCGCCUGGAGGUAUCGGAAGUGAGAAUGCUGACAUGAGUAGCGACAAACAGUGUGAGAAACACUGUCGCCGAAAGUCCAAGGGUUCCUGCGCAAGGUUAAUCCACGCAGGGUGAGCCGGCCCCUAAGGCGAGGCCGAAAGGCGUAGUCGAUGGGAACCACGUUAAUAUUCGUGGGCCAGCGGGUGUGUGACGAAUGGGAAAGCGUGUCGGGCCUUAUCGGAUUGGCCCGGCUGGGGACCCGUUCCAGGAAACAGCCCCCGCAUCAGACCGUACCCCAAACCGACACAGGUGGACUGGUAGAGUAUACCCAGGCGCUUGAGAGAAUGGUGUUGAAGGAACUCGGCAAAUUGCCCUCGUAACUUCGGAAGAAGAGGGCCCCGUCGCGGCGCAAGCCGGGGCGGGGGGCACAGACCAGGGGGUGGCGACUGUUUACUAAAAACACAGGGCUCUGCGAAGCCGUACAAGGCGACGUAUAGGGUCUGACGCCUGCCCGGUGCCGGAAGGUUAAGAGGAGGGGUUCACGCUCCGAAUUGAAGCCCCGGUAAACGGCGGCCGUAACUAUAACGGUCCUAAGGUAGCGAAAUUCCUUGUCGGGUAAGUUCCGACCUGCACGAAUGGCGUAACGACUUCCCCGCUGUCUCCAACACCAACUCAGCGAAAUUGAACUCUCCGUGAAGAUGCGGAGUACCCGCGGUCAGACGGAAAGACCCCGUGCACCUUUACUACAGCUUUGCAGUGGUGCUAGGGAUCUCAUGUGUAGGAUAGGUGGGAGGCUAGGAAACCCGGGCGCCAGCUCGGGUGGAGCCACCCUUGAAAUACCACCCUUGAGGUCUCUGGCAUCUAACCGCGCUCCGUUGAUCCGGAGCCGGGACCCUGCAUGGCGGGUAGUUUGACUGGGGCGGUCGCCUCCCAAAGUGUAACGGAGGCGCGCGAUGGUGGGCUCAGAGCGGUCGGAAAUCGCUCGACGAGUGCAAUGGCAUAAGCCCGCCUGACUGCAAGACAGACAAGUCGAGCAGAGACGAAAGUCGGCCAUAGUGAUCCGGUGGUUCCA
rnacentral:rRNA from 1 species